GGAAUACACAUGCAAGUCGAACGGUAACAGGGAGCAGCUUGCUGCUUCGCUGACGAGUGGCGGACGGGUGAGUAAUGUCUGGGAAACUGCCUGAUGGAGGGGGAUAACUACUGGAAACGGUAGCUAAUACCGCAUAACGUCUUCGGACCAAAGUGGGGGACCUUCGGGCCUCAUGCCAUCAGAUGUGCCCAGAUGGGAUUAGCUAGUAGGUGGGGUAACGGCUCACCUAGGCGACGAUCCCUAGCUGGUCUGAGAGGAUGACCAGCCACACUGGAACUGAGACACGGUCCAGACUCCUACGGGAGGCAGCAGUGGGGAAUAUUGCACAAUGGGCGCAAGCCUGAUGCAGCCAUGCCGCGUGUAUGAAGAAGGCCUUCGGGUUGUAAAGUACUUUCAGCGGGGAGGAAGGUGUUGUGGUUAAUAACCACAGCAAUUGACGUUACCCGCAGAAGAAGCACCGGCUAACUCCGUGCCAGCAGCCGCGGUAAUACGGAGGGUG
rnacentral:rRNA from 1 species